AUGGAAAAUUUUAAAGUGAGCUUCACUUUUGAAGUUGAUGACAGACUUGAGAUGGAAUAUUCAAAUGAAAUAGUUGAAGAGGUAUGCACAUGCACAUUUCAGUAUUUUAAAUGGUUUAUAAAAUUAUUAUGCGAGUACAUUCUUUAUAGGGUAUACUGGAAAGGCAAGACACACAAGGUUCUUCAAAUUUUGCUAUGCAGAAGUCCGAUAACAAGGUCAACCACUCCUCCAAGAAUGCAAGAAAUGAUGAGAAGGAGGAUAUGUGCUGAAAGGAAACCUCUAAAUCAUCUAACAAAAAGCAACAAAGGAGGACAAAGAGACAGAAGUCUAGCAAAAUAUAUGAAAAAGAUGUGA
rnacentral:rRNA from 1 species